UCAAGAAUAUUCCUCAAUGGACGAAAGUCUGAAGGAGCGACGCCGCGUGACCGAUGAAGUCCCUCGGGAUGUAAAGGUCUUUUCUAAAGGAAGAAACAAUGACGGUACUUUAGGAAUAAGAGGUUGCUAACUCUGUGCCAGCAGCAGCGGUAAUACAGAGACCUCGAGCGUUAUCCGGAUUGAUUGGGUGUAAAGCGUGCGCAGGCGGCUUAUUAAGCUAAUGGUCAAAUUUUGCGGCUCAACCGCAGAACUGCCAUUGGAACUGGUAGGCUAGAGUAUGGAAGAGGCUAGCGGAAUUGCCGGUGUAACGGUAAAAUGUGUUAAUAUCGGCAAGAACACCAGAGGCGAAAGCGGCUAGCUGGUACAUUACUGACGCUGUGGCACGAAAGCGUGGGGAGCG
rnacentral:rRNA from 1 species